rnacentral:sRNA from 1 species
AUAAAGUAGUAUAAAUAUCGUAAAAAUUUAAACUAAGCUAUUCGUUAUUAAUUUAUUUUAUUAAGAGACAAAUUAAUUUAAUUUAAGAAAGCACGAAAAAUGGGACAUGACAAGUGAACCUCGUGAUCUUCCAAAGCAGAUUCAAAAUAAUACUCCUUCCAUUUUCAUUUCUACCCUCUUUAAAUAUUUAAUGACCAUUUUACUCCUAUUUAGAAAUUGUUUUAGGUUAACAAAAUGAAAUAUUAAUAUUUUUCGUCUAAU